AAAAAGGUAAGCUAACAAAGCUAAUGGGUUCAUACCCCAUUUAUAAAGGUUUUAAUCCUUUCCUUUUUA
rnacentral:tRNA from 1 species